AGUCAACAUGCCCAGAGGACGUGGAUAACCUCGGGAAACUGAGGAUAAACCGCGAUAGGCCAUAAUUACUGGAAUGGGUUAUGGCUUAAACCUAUAUGGCCUCUGGAUUGGACUGCGGCCGAUCAGGCUGUUGGUGAGGUAAUGGCCCACCAAACCUGUUACCGGUACGGGCUCUGAGAGGAGGAGCCCGGAGAUGGGCACUGAGACAAGGGCCCAGGCCCUAUGGGGCGCAGCAGGCGCGAAACCUCUGCAAUAGGCGAAAGCCUGACAGGGUUACUCUGAGUGAUUCCCGCUAAGGGGAUCUUUUGGCACCUCUAAAAAUGGUGCAGAAUAAGGGGUGGGCAAGUCUGGUGUCAGCCGCCGCGGUAAUACCAGCACCCCGAGUGGUCGGGACGAUUAUUGGGCCUAAAGCAUCCGUAGCCGGUCAUGCAAGUCCUCCGUUAAAUCCACCUGCUUAACAGAUGGGCUGCGGAGGAUACUACAAGGCUAGGAGGCGGAAGAGGCAGGCGGUACUCAGUGGGUAGGGGUAAAAUCCUCUGAUCCAUUGAAGACCACCAGUGGCGAAGGCGGCUUGCCAAUACGCGCUUGACGGUGAGGGAUGAAAGCUGGGGGAGCAAACCGGAUUAGAUACCCGGGUAGUCCCAGCUGUAAACGAUGCAGACUCGGUGAUGGGCCGGCUUUAUGCCGGCUCAGUGCCGCAGGGAAGCCGUUAAGUCUGCCGCCUGGGGAGUACGGUCGCAAGACUGAAACUUAA
rnacentral:rRNA from 1 species